AAGUCGUAACAAGGUCUCCGUAGGUGAACCUGCGGAGGGAUCAUUAAUGAGAACUUGCCCCUCGGGGUGGAUCUCCCACCCUUUGUGUACCUUACCUUUGUUGCUUUGACGAGCCCGCCCCUCGGGGCCGCCGGCCAUACCAGGCUGUCCAGCGCUCGUCAGAGGCCCAAAACUCUUGUAAUUUUGUCGUCAGAGUGCUAUAUAAUAGUUAAAA
rnacentral:misc_RNA from 1 species